rnacentral:rRNA from 1 species
GCAUCCGUAGCCGGUCUUGCAAGUCUUCCGUUAAAUCCAGCUGCUUAACAGAUGGGCUGCGGAGGAUACUACAAGGCUAGGAGGCGGGAGAGGCAAGCGGUACUCAGUGGGUAGGGGUAAAAUCCUCUGAUCCAUUGAAGACCACCAGUGGCGAAGGCGGCUUGCCAGAACGCGCUCGACGGUGAGGGAUGAAAGCUGGGGGAGCAAACCGGAUUAGAUACCCGGGUAGUCCCAGCUGUAAACGAUGCAGACUCGGUGAUGGGCCGGCUUUAUGCCGCUCAGUGCCGCAGGGAAGCCGUUAAGUCUGCCGCCUGGGGAGUACGGUCGCAAGACUGAAACUUAAAGGAAUUGGCGGGGGGAGCACCACAAGGGGUGAAGCCUGCGGUUCAAUUGGAGUCAACGCCGGAAAUCUUACCGGGGGCGACAGCAGAGUGAAGGUCAAGCUGAAGACUUUACCAGACAAGCUGAGAGGAGGUGCAUGGCCGUCGCCAGCUCGUGCCGUGAGGUGUCCUGUUAAGUCAGGUAACGAGCGAGAUCCCUGCUUUUAGUUGCUACCACUACUCUCAGGAGGAGUGGGGCUAAUUAAAAGGACUGCCGCCGCUAAGGCGGAGGAAGGAGGGGGCUACGGCAGGUCAGUAUGCCCCGAAACCCUCGGGCCACACGCGGGCUGCAAUGGUAAGGACAAUGGGCUCCGAUUCCGAAAGGAGGAGGCAAUCCCUAAACCUUACCUCAGUUAUGAUUGAGGGCUGAAACUCGCCCUCAUGAAUAUGGAAUCCCUAG